GAAAUUGGCCAGGCUCCUGCUGUGGGGUUUGGUGUUCAGGCCAGUCCUCACCCCAGGUGCUCACACUGGGCACCCCCAAGACUCAGGAACCCCCACUGCAGCCUCUUGGUCCCUGUAUUCCUAGCAGGGGCACUGGCCAGGAGAGGGAUCCAGAGACUCCGAGUGUCUGGCCCAGCUCUACCACCAGGAUUGACCCUCUCGCUGGUCUGAAAGGACCAGUUGGGCCUCGGCUAAGCCCUAGUCCCCGGGGCUGUUGUUCUCAGCCCCCAGAUCUCCCCAUCACUGCUGACGGGCCCUGCCUAUCAAUGUCCCCGUGCUGCCACCCUGGCGAGGUCCCUCUGGAGAGAGAGGCCUCAGUGCGGGGAUGGCCGUUGCCUGCAGUGACCUGUGUGCACUCGUAAUCUGGGGGAGCACGGGCUUCUCCAGGUCGGUGUGCCCUGGGAAAUAACUCUGACACUGCCCGUGGGCGUGAGGAUCGCAUUCCUGUCUGGCGUUCAUCUCUGCACGGGUCCCAUCGUUCUUGGUUUUGCUGUGACCAUAGAGGAGGAGGUGUGGCCCUCACUGUCCAUCUGAUGUCUCUUAAGGCCUCGGUCACUCUGCCAGAUUCAAGACAGAAGCACUUGAUGGGGAAGGUUCAUGCCAAGGCUUACUGAGAGCAGAGAUCCUUUUCAGCUGCCCGGCUCUGAGAAUUUCAACACACUUUGGAUAUUUCAAAACAGCUUCCUGUGUCUGCUCUUCAUAAACUCACUUCGAGAUGUGUACCUGUGCACCUGCCUGGGUGUAGAGAAUAAAAUGACCGACUAUGGAGAUGGGCCCACGCAGUCACACUAACCUUAGGAGCUCUCCUCACAAGGACACCUGAGUGAUGGGAAUCAGCACUGACCAAAGGCCCCCCUAAUCUUUUGAUCUCUGAACAUGACUGAGCUAUUCCUGCCUCUUUAUAGGCCUUUGUACUGGGAAAAUUUGCAUGUGAAUUUACAUACCCAUUUUCUCUAACAGAAAGAGAUGCCGGCUCAGCACAGUGGAUAAGGCCUCAGAGUAGGUAGUUCAGGGGAGUGUGGGCCUGGGCGCUCCAGAACACUGGGAUUUGGGGGAACAGCCAUCUGUCCGCCGGACAUUGUGCCCACAACUGGGUGGUCACGUGGCUGUGGCAGACCUGAGCCCGUGGGUCCCCAGGACCCUGCCUGGCCCCGGGCAUCCGUAACGGCCCCAGCUAUUCGCAGGAGACACUUCUCAGUGCCCCGGCCAGUGUCUUUCCCCACCCGCACACGCUGUGAGCUCUUGUCACCACUAUGGGAAAAUAGUAAACAAAGAGUAAGUAGCCCAUGGGGUGAGCGUGAGUGUUCAUGUGUGUGUAGCAAUACACGAUCAUUUCACUACAUAAAAAUUGCCGAACAAUCCUGAGGCGCAUUUUUUCACUCAGAACUUGCCCAGUCAUACUUCAGCAAAGCCAAAUCCUAAAACAAAUAUCUUCACUACAAAAUGAAAAGGUGGCAGUAGAGAGUGGGCAUGAGAGAAGGACAAUGUGAACGUCAGUUCCCACUUCACGUCACAUAACUUUAUCUAUCUGCGUUAGUGGUGCGAGGCAGGUCCUAACGCAUCCCAGG